GACGAACGCUGGCGGCGUGCUUAACACAUGCAAGUCGAACGGAAAGACCCUGCGUUUGUUGCGUGCUCGAUUGGCGAACGGGUGAGUGACACGUGAGUAACCUGCCCUUAACUUUGUGGUAACUUCAGGGAACUGCGGCGAAUACCCGGUAUGAUCUCCUGCUCCAUAGUGGUGGUUGGAAAGAUUCGGCGGUUGGGGAUGGACUCGCGGCUUAUCAGCUGGUUUGUGGGGUAGUGGAGUACCAAGCCUGCGAAGGGUAGCCUGCCUGAGAGGGUGAACGGGCACAAUGGGCCUGCGAGACGGACCAGACUCCUACGGGAGGCAGCAGUGGGGAAUAUUGCACAAUGGGGGGAAGCCUGAUGUAGCAACGUCGGGUGCGGGAUGACGGCUUUCGGGGUGUAAACCGCUUUCUCCUGUGACGAAGCGGGAGUGACGGUAAUGGGUCAAGAAGCACCGGCUAACUACGUG
rnacentral:rRNA from 1 species